GAACUCAUGAGUAUGAAACAACAUUGUCCAUGAGGUCACGCUGCUUUACCAACCAAUAUUUGGUGCAUGUGCAACUCGCCUGGAUGAUGCAAAUUUUUUUCUGACUUACCGUAAUUGCUAUGAUGUUCCCUUCUUCAUCAUGUUGUUACACAACUAUGCACCUCAUGUUUCAGCUCCUUUCAAGACUUCAAUGAUCAGAUCCUUCCUGGUAUCAGUCCACUCCCUUGGUUGGUUCUGAAUGGAAAUUAAUCAGGAUUUUCCUAUGGUUCCCUGAUUUUUGCUUACUUCUCUGUCCUAAGCAGUAUCAGGCACCUCGCUGUGUGGUCCGUGAUGCCAUGAUAGUGGAUAUUAUCACUAUUCAUUAUUUCCUUAGUAUCUGGUUGCAGGUAUUAGAAGUCUCUCACACCUUGGAGCUUCAAGGAUAAUACAGUCCAUGUCUCAGUUUCAAAUGGAUUUUACAAGAAAUUUUAAGAAAUUAUAAGAUAUCAUACAGUUGUCAGCCAGUUUCAUCCCAAGUGAGGUACUUUGCAAUGCUAUGGAGGGCUAAAACCUGAGACUUGUUUCAGAAAGGCCAAUAUCUGAUGAAUCUGAAUGGGAUCAAGACGUUUAUAGUAGGAUGACGUACAGAGGCGUAAAGGGAAGCUGGGAAUUGCCUAACAGAUGCCAACAGUGAGUAAAAUGAUUACACACUAUGAGGUGUAAUCGUUUUUGUUUUGAAUCUGAUCAAACCUCAUACACCAAAGGUGCCUCAGAUCCUCCUGGCUACCUGAGAAGCAGCAUAAAAGCACUCGCUGCUCACCUCUCCUCCAACAGCUCCUCCUGACUUCUCCUCUGCAACUCAAAUCCACUUCCACUACAGAACAAUGUCUUCCUACAGACAGCUGUGCAACUGCCAGUGCUUCACUCCGUGCGAGGUGGCCUGCCCACCACCCAUUGCCAACGCCUGGAACGAGCCAUGCAUCACAUCAUGCGGUGACUCCAGGGCAGUGGUCUACCCACCCCCCGUCGUCAUCACUUUUCCUGGGCCAAUUCUCAGCUCCUGCCCUCAGGAAAGCAUAGUGGGGUCCUCAGCACCAGCUGGCGUUUGGGGCUCACUUGGCUAUGGGGAGUCCUAUGGCUACAGAGGCUCUCUGGUUUAUGGGGGAUCACAGGGAAGCAAGUUCUCAUACCCUUAUUGCUCCCAGAGGUCCAGCAGCUAUCGCUCUAGAAAGCGUGAGCCCUGCCAAACCCAGCAAGAAUAUACUUGCAGCAAGAGCAGUCAGGAGACCGAAUGCAAGAUCCAAACUCAAGAGUAAGAUAAGCAACAUGAGUUUCUAAGAUGCUGGCUUAAAAAGGAUGACCCUUGUUAAUGCUUUACAUUAUAUUUGUGCUCAUAUCUGCUUACAUACAUCUUCCUUUGUUAGAAGUGUGCUCUUCUAUUCUUCUCAUGGUCCAGAUUUUCAAAUGUAUUGAUAUUUCUUCUACGCUCGAUCGUGUAUUAUACAACAAGCAUAAUGGAAGAGUUGUGAUACUGUGAUUUUUUCACCUGACACUGCCUGGUGUCCAUCAAGAGCUAUGUUAAGGGAUGAAAACUGGACUGCCUCAUCAAUCUUAAAGCUGCAGAAGAAGAAGAGAACACCGUGCUUGAAAUGAAGAUUCCUGAAGAAGCCUCACUUGUUAAAGCCUCAAUUUCUGUUUUCUGUAUGAACGUGUUUUUCUACUGUAAACUUCCCUACUCUAUCUCCUAUUAAAAAGUCACUUUGCAUUAUGA